rnacentral:misc_RNA from 1 species
AAAAACAAAAAAAAAAAAAUAAAAUAAAACAAACUUCAUUAUUAGCAAUGUAAGAAAUUAUGCCUAUUAACCUGCUGGGAUAACUAAAAAUGUUUAGCAAGUUACACGAAGAACACAUCAUUAUGAGGAUAAAGUUAAUAUGCGUAGUAGCCCUUUGGAAUCCAAUUUAUUUCAAAUUUAACACAUUCAUUUAGCACUGAGAACAUGAUGGGUAAGUUGCUUGAAUUUGUAAUUCUGUUCUAGGAUCUAAUAACGCUAUAAUCAUUGGUUUAAUUGAAGUUCCCUUGCCAAAUGAUUAUGAAAGACUUUCAAACUCAACUCAUAUCAACUCAACUUAAUCUUUAUCCAAGAAUUUGAGAUUGGCUAUAUAGAUUUUCUUUCUCCAUUCUAAACG